rnacentral:lncRNA from 1 species
CUGACUCAGUACGCACCUCAUAGACCCCUCGAGGGCUGCCGAGUACCAGAUUAACAAUCAUCCCCCUGGGAAGCAUCGGAAUCAGAAGUUCCUGCAAUUUAUCCCUUUUUUUUUUUUUUGCGGGAUCAAUCUUGAUUCUUCUGAUUUACUCACAACAAGUCUCGGUAGCUUGAUGAACAGCACCCCCUAAGUGUACUGACUCGGGCUCAACAGUGUGAGUUAUCUCAACCAAUCAACCAACUUGCCCCAAGUCCACCGGAUGCCCCUGUUCUGCUUGGGACUUUGCCAUCAUGUCAUCAACAUGGCAUUUGCUUUCACGAUGAAUCAUAUCAUGAAACAAAGUCACCGUAGACCUCUG